AGUGAACGCUGGCGGUAGGCCUAACACAUGCAAGUCGAACGGCAGCACAGUAAGAGCUUGCUCUUACGGGUGGCGAGUGGCGGACGGGUGAGGAAUACAUCGGAAUCUACUUUUUCGUGGGGGAUAACGUAGGGAAACUUACGCUAAUACCGCAUACGACCUACGGGUGAAAGCAGGGGAUCUUCGGACCUUGCGCGAUUGAAUGAGCCGAUGUCGGAUUAGCUAGUUGGCGGGGUAAAGGCCCACCAAGGCGACGAUCCGUAGCUGGUCUGAGAGGAUGAUCAGCCACACUGGAACUGAGACACGGUCCAGACUACUACGGGAGGCAGCAGUGGGGAAUAUUGGACAAUGGGCGCAAGCCUGAUCCAGCCAUACCGAGUGGGUGAAGAAGGCCUUCGGGUUGUAAAGCCCUUUUGUUGGGAAAGAAAAGCAGCAGGUUAAUACCCCGCUGUUCUGACGGUACCCAAAGAAUAAGCACCGGCUAACUUCGUG
rnacentral:rRNA from 1 species